AAAUAAAUUAUUAAGAGCACUUGAUGGAUGCCUUGGCGUUAAGAGGCGAUGAAGGACGUGGCAGGCUGCGAUAAGCUGCGGGGAAUUGUCAACAGGUUUUGAUCCGCAGA
rnacentral:rRNA from 1 species